rnacentral:rRNA from 1 species
GACGAACGCUGGCGGCGUGCUUAACACAUGCAAGUCGAACGAAGUGGCGAACGGGUGAGUAACGCGUAAUCAACCUGCCCUUCAGAGGGGGACACCAGUUGGAAACGACUGCUAAUCCCGCAUACUGAAGGAGGGGAUUGUGUCUGAUUAGCUAGUUGGAGGGGUAACGGCCCACCAAGGCGAUGAUCAGUCGCCGGUCUGAGAGGAUGAACGACCACAAUGGGACUGAGAGACGGCCCAGACGCCGACGGGAGGCAGCAGUGGGGAAUCUUCCGCCAUGGACGAAAGUCUGACGGAGCAACGCCGCGUGAGUGAUGACGGGCUUCGGGUUGUAAAGGUCUGUUAAGCGGGACGCGGUACCGGAAUAGAAAGCCACGGCUAACUCCGUGCCAGCCGCCGCGGUAAUAC